ensembl:misc_RNA Y_RNA Y RNA
GGUUGGUCUGAGUGCAGUGGUGUUUGUGACUAAUUGAUCACAACCAGUUACAGAUUACUUUGUUCCUUCUCCACUCCCACUGCUUCACUUGACCAGCCUUAA